rnacentral:lncRNA from 1 species
CAGUACAUUUUUGUUUUUGUUUUUAAAGGUGACCACUAUUCGAAAUUCCUUAUGUGUUCAGAAUUUAUUCAGAGCUCAGGAAGGUGAUACUACUGUAACAGAUGCUCUUCAGUAUUUUAUAUAAAAGAAACAAAGAAAGGAGAGACAGAAAAAGAAAGAAAGAAAGAAAGAAAAACUCAAGGAAGAUAACCAGUUCUCUGAGCUGUGCCAAUACAAAAGGGGAUUGGGACAUCAAGGCGUGUAAAAUAACACAAAGAGGUUUGCAAAGUCCAGCUGAAGGGAGCCGGAGCGUCCUGUUUUUACCAUCACGCUUCGUUGUUCACGUUGCUUGUGUGUAAAACAGGGUACGGUAUUUAGAAAUGGUGAAGGAAAUGACUGGCCUAAAACUCUUGUGAUUCAGUGACUCAAGGAUGAUUGACAUUGUGUAAAAACAGGCACAUUAGACCAAGAGAUAAUUUGAAAAACUUAUUAUUGGGUAUUGUUUUUAAAAAUUAAACCUAUAGACAUGAAUAAAAUGAAAAACUUUAGAAGCACAGCUUGUGGAACUGAAAAGGGCCUUAGAGACCAUCACUUCCAACGGCCUCAUUUUACAGGAGAGAAAUCUGAGGACCAGGGAAACCAAGUGACUUUUCUGGGGUCACAUGGAAUGUCAACAGCAGAGCUGUGAAGGUGUUCAGGUCUGCUAACCUCCCGGCUAUGCUCAUUCAUGGAGAGUGCUUCAAAGGGUGUUUGCAACAUUUAGUCACAGUUUAUCUUUGGUUAAUUCCACAUUUACUCCUAUUUUUAAUGCGUGCAAAAAUGGCCCAGAUUCAUAUGA